UGUAUUUUUUUAGUAGAGACGGGUUUCACCAAGUUGGCCAGGCUGGUUCUGCCCUCCUGACCUGAAGUGAUCCCCCGCACCCGGCCCCAGGGCCCUGAUUAACCAGACAAAGCACUCAACACUGAAAGUGAAAUCUCAGCCCAUUUAUCCCUCCAUCCAGAGUGAAUGAAUAAAUAAAUACACUAUUCUCAACUCCACUCACUGGCAGAAUUUUCCUUUAGUGCUGUCUUUUAGGGGCUCCCCUGAGGAGAGCUGUGGUACAGCACCGUCCUUUUUGGUGCCAAUGUAUUAUCUGACCCUCUGGGAACCACGGUCCCCGGGAAGGCAGCCAGACGACGGCAGCAGCUCAUCCCUCAAGGCCCAGAGCUCUCACGGGACUUCCUCUGGCCCCUGACCCCCCCAGCCUGUGCCCAGCUCUGGGCAACCUCAGAGGCCCCAGGCCCAGGCCACAGCCGCGGGCAGAGUGGCCGGUGCAGCCCAGCAGCCAUGUCAGAGCCGGCCAACAUUGGCCCCUCAGGGGUGUCGGGCCCUUCCCAGCUGAGCGCCAUCACCCUGGAAGACCUGGGGCUCCUCCUGGCAGGAGACCUGACCAGCCCCGAGACCUUGAGCCUGGAGGAGCUCUCGGAGAGGUGUGAGUCCAGCCACCCGCCAUCCACGGCCUCUGUCCCUGAGCAGGACACCGCCAAACGCUGGAACCAGCUGGAGCAGUGGGUGGUGGAGCUGCAGGCCGAGGUGGCGUGCCUGCGGGAGCACAAGCAGCGCUGUGAGCGCACCACACGGAGCCUGCUGCGGGAGCUGCUCCAGGUGCGGGCCCGCGUGCAGCUACAGGGCUCAGAGCUGAGGCAGCUGCAGCAGGAGGUGCGGCCGGCAGCCCAGGCCCCUGAGAAGGAGGCGCCGGAGUUCUCUGGUCUCCAGAACCAGAUGCAGGCCCUGGACAAAAGGCUGGUGGAGGUCCGGGAAGCCUUGACUCAGCUCAGGAGGAGGCAGGCGCAGCAGGAGGCAGAGAGAAGGGGCGCCGAGCAGGAGGCCGGCCUCAGGCUGGCCAAGCUGACCGACUUGCUGCAGCAGGAGGAGCAGGGCCGGGAGGUGGCCUGCGGCGCCCUGCAGAAGAACCAGGAGGACAGCAGCCGGAGGGUGGACCUGGAGGUGGCCAGGAUGCAGGCCCAGGUGACCAAGCUCGGCGAAGAGGUGAGCCUACGCUUCCUGAAGAGGGAGGCCAAGCUGUGUGGCUUCCUGCAGAAGAGCUUCCUGGCCCUGGAGAAGAGAAUGAAGGCCUCGGAGAGCUCGCGGCUGAGGCUGGAGGGCAGCCUGCGGGGCGAGCUGGAGAGCCGGUGGGAGAAGCUUCGGGGGCUGAUGGAGGAGCGCCUGCGGGCCCUGCAGGGGCAGCAUGAGGAGAGCCACCUCCUGGAGCAGUGCCAGGGCCUGGAUGCAGCCGUGGCCCAGCUGACCAAGUUCGUGCAGCAGAACCAGGCAUCGCUGAACCGCGUCCUGCUGGCUGAGGCGAAGGCCUGGGAUGCCAAGGGGCGCCUGGAGGAGAGCCGGGCCGGGGAGCUGGCUGCCUAUGUGCAGGAGAACCUGGAGGCCGCACAGCUGGCCCGCGAGCUGGCCCGGCAGGAGAUGCAUGGCGAGCUGGUGCUGCUCCGAGAGAAAAACCGGGCUCUGGAGGCAUCGGUGGCGCAGCUGGCCGGGCAGUUAAAGGAGCUGAGUGGCCGCCUCCCGGCUCUGAGCAGCCGGCUGGAUCUGCAGGAGCAGAUGCUGGGCCUCAGGCUGUCUGAGGCAAAGACCGAAUGGGAAGGUGCAGAGAGGAAGUCUCUGGAGGACCUGGCCAGGUGGCAGAAGGAGGUCGUCGCGCACCUGCGGGGGGUGCGGGAGAAGGUGGAUGGCCUCCCCCAGCAGAUAGAGGGCAUCUCGGACAAGUGCCUGCUCCACAAGAGUGAUUCGGACCUCAGGAUUUCCGCCGAAGGCAAGGCCAGGGAGUUCGAGGUUGGGGCCCUGCGGCAGGAGCUGGCCACGCUGCUGUCGUCCGUGCAGCUGCUGAAGGAAGACAGCCCUGGGCGGAAGAUCGCAGAGAUGCAGGGCAAGCUGGCCACGUUUCAGAACCAAAUAAUGAAGCUGGAAAACUGCGUCCAGGCCAGCAAGACCAUCCAGAACCUCAGGUUCAACACUGAGGCCCGGCUGCGCACACAGGAGAUGGCCGCCCUUCGGGAGAGCGUGCUGCGGCUGCGCAGUCAGGAGAGCCCGCAGACGCCGCUGGGCAGCCGGAAGCUGCUCCCAUCCCUGGCAAGGCUGCAAGUCUUCAUCAAGGACACGGCGCCAAACGAGGUGGCUGCGGUGGAAGGCGUCCCUCAUAAAGCUCAGGGCCCCGCGGAGGCCAGGAGGGGUCCCAGAGAAGCCCCACAGCCAGGAGCAGGUGCAACAGCUCACACCCUCGCUCUUUAUCCAGAAAUAAACGAACCAGCCUUGUACUCAUUAGAGCUGAGGUUCCCCGAUGCGUACGAGUGAACAGCCUCCCCAGGGCCUGGGGGGUGAGAGGGGUGGCGAGGCCCUGGGCAGCGGGGGUGCCCAAGGCUGGAGGGAGCCAGUCUCUUGAGCCCCACAACUCUCCCUGUCCUGCCCAAGCCCAGCCUGGCUUCAGGCUGUUGUUUUUCCUAGCACUUCAGCAGCCCCUCUCCUUCCCUGCCAGGCCCCCUAGGGCUGCCAGAGCCCCCCGGGGUGGAAGGGGCUGGGCUGGGGCCUGCCCAGAAGCACCUAGCCCUGCCCCCGCCAGGAGCCCCAGUGAGCCGCCCUGCCCGGGUCGUGAGGAGGACCCGGGGACGCUUCCUGGCCUGGGGCUCUCUGGCUCUGCCUCAGAGCCACUCCAGCCCAGCACCCUGCAGUGGGAGAACCUUCCAGCAUCUGUGGAGGAGACAGCCCUUGUCUGCUGUCUCGGUCGGGCAGUGGGCCCCUCUUCCUGCCUCUCCAAGGAGGGACGGAGGAGGCUCUUCCCAGGAGGAUGGGAGGAGAGUCCAGUGCCUCAGGGGCGGCCGCCCCUGCCACCAGCUGACUCCGACCCCAGUGCCUCGCUAGGCCUCGGCUGGCUGUGCCCCUUCCAGGGCUGGGGUUCCCCUGCCGGGCAGCUCAGGACAGGCCUCGGCUGACCAGCUGGCCAGCAGGUCGCUGAAGUCGGGCGUGCCAGGGUGCAGCAGGCCCAGGGGGCUAGGGGUCGGCUCCUUCCAGAAGGACGGGGGCAGCUUCCUCUGGGCCAUGGGGGUGAUGUGGCCGUACUUCCGCUCCAGCCUCAGGCUCCAGCUGGCCGCCGCCCUGGACCCCCAGUACUGCUGCAGCCCGUAGUCGAAGAGCUCGGCCAGGGGUCCCAGGGGCUGCGUCCUGUCCCCGCUGAGGCCCGGCCUGCACACCUGCCCUUGGGAGACCCCGGGCUCCGGGGUGUGCUCGUCCUCCAGGGACCCGCCUCGGGCCAGACGCACCAGGUCCGCGUGGUAGAGCUCCCGGGCAGUGCUGCCAGCUGGGCGGCUGUCGGCGUACACGUCGCAGGCAUCUGGGUCCUGCGCCUUGUCCUUGCGGCCAAAGUACCGCUGGAUGUCGUCGCUGAUGAGCUCUGAGAAGCGUAGCAGCUGCAGCGGCAUCUCGGGGCUGCUGGGACCCUGAGGGGCUGCCUCCUCCGCGGCCUCUGCCCGGCCUGAGUUCGGGAGGAUCUGGCUGCAGCCCUCCAGCCCCUCGCCCUCCUCCCCCUCCUCCCCCUCCUCCCCCUCCCCCUCCUCCUCUUCCUCCUCCUCCUCCUCUUCCUCCUCCGAAGUCUCCAGGGGCUCUGGAUCUGAGGGCAGGAAGGGGUGGUGGCGCAGCAGGGGCAGCUGGAAGUCGCACAGGGUCCGGAUCACACCGGCGGCCAUCUCCGCACGUCCCACGCUUCUGGGGCCUCCGGGGCAGCAGGUGCCGGCUAGGGAGGGAGGCAGAGGAGCAGGUUCCCUGUCAGGCCUGGCCAUGCCCCCGCCACCCUCGAUUGCUGCACUCGGAUCCCACCCAUCUGUGGCCUCCCCCAGAGACGUUCCUCAGCUCCUGGGCUCCCCGUUGUGCUUGCCGAGGGCACGGAUUGCCACCAGAGUGAGGCGUGGAGAGAGACAGGGAUGUCUCCCGCUGGCUGUCCAGAAGGCGAGCUGCGAGGCCCCCCGACCUGGCCGGCCCAGCUGUGGUUCUGAUCUCACUCAAGUGCUGGGGUCCCCAUCACAGGAGACGUCCAGUGUCCUGAGUGCUGGACUUUGGGGCUGACUGCUCACGGACAGCCCAGACGCAGGUGCCCUCCCAUGGCCGUCUGCCCGGAUGCCGGCCCAGCCCUGGGCCAGCAGGACUCUCCCGGGGUGGGUGGUCCCCGCAGAGCCCUGGGCAGAAGGACUCACAGACUCCCCAAGUCCCCAGUGCUGUGGUGGUCCCCAGCAGCGCCCACCUCCCCCAGGCCCUGGCUCCUACCUGGCCGGGGCCACAGCUCUCGAUCCACAGGCACACCCUCCACCUGGACACGAGCAUUUAUAGCCGCGCUCUGCAGCCGCCAGGAGCUGGCAAAUAUUUGGCAACAGCAUUGUCAUCGCAGACUGGGCAAAUAGAGCCCGUUUGCUUUAGCGCCCGGCAACCAGGGCCCCGAGGGGGGAGCACACCCCCGGCCUCACCUGCACGCAGCCUGCCCGGGGACCGUGGAGUGUUUGUGCGGGCGCAGCUGGCUCGCCCCCGGGCCCCGGGACCCUUAUCUCUGCUGCUGACUGGGGCCCGGACCCAGCCUUGUCAAAUAGGCGGAAAAUUAAAUUUCAUGCUAUUUUGA